rnacentral:miRNA from 1 species
AGGAGAGAGAGAGAGGGGAGCAGACUGAGCAUGCUCAGUCGGCUCCCCUCUCCCUCCUGAAGGAGAGAGAGAGAGGGGAGCAGAGUGAGCAUGCUCAGUCUGCUCCCCUCUCUCUCCCUCCU